ACUACGGGGGGCAGCAGUGGGGAAUAUUGCACAAUGGGCGCAAGCCUGAUGCAGCCAUGCCGCGUGUGUGAAGAAGGCCUUCGGGUUGUAAAGCACUUUCAGCGGGGAGGAAGGCGUUAAGGUUAAUAACCUUGUCGAUUGACGUUACCCGCAGAAGAAGCACCGGCUAACUCCGUGCCAGCAGCCGCGGUAAUACGGAGGGUGCAAGCGUUAAUCGGAAUUACUGGGCGUAAAGCGCACGCAGGCGGUCUGUCAAGUCGGAUGUGAAAUCCCCGGGCUCAACCUGGGAACUGCAUUCGAAACUGGCAGGCUAGAGUCUUGUAGAGGGGGGUAGAAUUUCAGGUGUAGCGGUGAAAUGCGUAGAGAUCUGGAGGAAUACCGGUGGCGAAGGCGGCCCCCUGGACAAAGACUGACGCUCAGGUGCGAAAGCGUGGGGAGCAAACAGGAUUAGAUACCCUUGUAGUC
rnacentral:rRNA from 1 species